GACGAACCGUGCGAACGUUGUUCGGAAUCACUGGGCCUAAAGGGCGCGUAGGCGGCUUUUCAAGUCAGGGGUGAAAUCCGGCAGCUUAACUGUCGAAGUGCCUUUGAUACUGGGAAGCUCGAGGGAGGUAGGGGUGUGUGGAACUUCCGGUGGAGCGGUGAAAUGCGUUGAUAUCGGAAGGAACGCCGGUGGCGAAAGCGACGCACUGGACCUCUUCUGACGCUGAGGCGCGAAAGCCAGGGGAGCAAACGGG
rnacentral:rRNA from 1 species